AGAAAAAGAUGAAAACAUUUAGUAUUAGCCUCUGCUAUCAGAAGUUUCACCUGAAAACUAAAAGUAAAGUCUUAGCUUUUUCUCUAAUGUUUAUAUGGGACCUGAAAUUUAUGUUAUUUAAUUAAUCCUAUGUUAUGUGGAUUCUGUAUUAUAAUUGCUAUGUUACAGUAACUAAGGCCCAGGAACUACAACACUCACCCCCACCUUCUAAAUUCUUGACAACUAUUAUCACUACUAUAAACAGAUGAAGAAAUUGUCAAAACUCAGGCUCAGGCAUAAUGGUCCCAAUGAUCUUUAAGCAACACUACAGAAUGAGUAACUCCUGCUUUUGCUGCCCACGGAUCAUUUACUUUUAUCAGGAAUUCCAUAGAUGAAGACAUGUGUCAUGCUACAAUAAUAGCUUAGUUCUCUGAAUUGCUGAGGCAGCUAUACACACAGCAUUGAAAGCCUUACUACACAGUCUACAAGCAGUUGCCCCCUGCAGUAUCCCCAGAAAAGAUGAACGCUAGCAGUUGCUUAAAGUGAGACUCACCAGGAGACGCUACAAAGUGAAGAGAUGGAUUACAGAGGAUGCGUGUACUGCCACCAGACAGAACUCUGUGAGUGCAACCAGCCUCCCUUAGAUGAACAUCCCCAAAUGCCUACUUUACAUCAAGACUAUGUGCCCGAGACUGAGUUUGCCAUGACUUUUUGAAAAAAGUUCAUAGUAAGCAUUACAAACGAUUAUAAGUUUA